AUGAUACUCACUCACCUGCAGAGGCCGAGAAAAAAAACCCCUCAGAUUCCCCCAAACCUUUUAAGCGCACCUGAAGUGCAGCGAGUUAUUGUAGAGCACAUUGUUAAGAGCAGUGAAGUCGUUCCCCCACCAAACUCGCAAUACAGACUGAAACCUUUUUCAGGGAGAGUUCCACAUCCUCCUUUCGAAACUGACUAUGACACUUGGCGCAGCAGUGUCGAGUUUUGCUUGACUGAUCCCUCGCUCACCGAAACUCAAGUUGUGCGAAAGAUUGUUGAAAGUCUUUCACCCCCUGCAGCGGACCUGGUGAAAGCUCUUGGGCCAAAAGCAAGCCCCAAAACUUACCUUGAACAUCUUGAUUCUGCCUAUGCAACUGUAGAGGACGGUGACGAACUCUUUGCCCGUUUCUUAAAUACCAAUCAAAAUGGAGGUGAAAAACCCUCACAUUACCUGCAAAGAUUGCACACAGUGUUAAACCUAGUCUUAAAAAGAGACGGAAUUGGUUCUAGUGACAUCAAUAAACAGCUCCUGAGACAAUUUUGUAGAGGGUGUUGGGACAGCUCACUGAUUACAAACCUUCAACUUGAACAACAGAAAGAUGACCCACCUCAUUUUGCGGAGCUACUUCUCCAACUGCGCACCGAGGAGGACAAACAGGCAAGUAAAGCAACCCGCAUGAAACAACAUUUGGGGAUCCAAAAGACUCGUGUGUAUUCUAACGUGCAAACCACAUGCUCUCAAGGUAGGAACGAUUAUGAGCAUGAAAUGGACAGCAAUUCAUCUGAUCUCCAGAAGCAAAUUGCUGACCUCAGGUCUCAAAUCGCACAGCUCAGAGCUGACAAGACAGAGAAAAGAUCAAAGAAACCUCAAAAGGAAGCUAAACAGAACACAAGUACCAAAACACAGGACAAGCCGGAACAGAUACCACAAAUCGCUGCAGUGUCAGCCAAACCCAAACCUGGAUACUGUUUCAAGUGUGGGGAAGAUGGUCAUAUCGCUUCCAGCUGUAGUAAUGAUCCCAACCCAGCAUUAGUAGCAGCUAAAAGGAAUGCCCUCAGACAAAAGCAGCGAGAAUGGGAAAUAUCCAGACCAGUCCAUGAGUCCUUUAAUUUAAACUAG
rnacentral:lncRNA from 1 species